GUCCCCAUCCCCACCUCCUGUCCCCAGCACACACAGCAGCUGACACAGCUCCAUCACCUCCCUCUCCGCAGACGGAAGCGUGGCCGCACACCCACACGUCUCAGAGCUCUGCGGGGGCUGCGGCUGACGAUGGGGGGGGGAAAGGGGGUGGGGGGGAACGGCAGCAGCUCCGUAAGAAGUGCUGGAAACAAGAACGGGGCGAAGUAAAUCAAGCAGCCCUACCCCUCGGUUAGGAGACGGGUCCCAUGAUGAGCAGCGGGCGGUGGGAGGAGGGCGGUGAUGCUGCAGCAGGGCACGGUUUGAUGUCUGAAGGUGGACGGGAGCCAAAGAGCUGAGAAAUGGAUGGAAUGAAGGCGACGCCGGAGCCAAAGUGCUGCUGUGAGUGAGAAAAAGAAUGAAGGUAACAGAGGAGGGGGGAGUGGAGUCACGUUGGUGCUGCUGGAGGUUCCCCCAUAGCAUCAACCGCUGUGCUGGGGGUAAAAUCCCACAGUGCUGGGGGCUGCGCUGGCCCAGCAGGACACCCAAAGGACACGGGAUGGAUGCUCAGCCCCUCGAGGAGCCAGCAGCCACCUCUCAUCACAGCCAAGCACCGAGCGAAACGCAGAGAAGCCCCACACAAACACAACAGACACGAGUUCGUUUCCACUACUGUCUCAGUGUACUUUAUUCUCCUGCUGUCUACAGCUGAACAGCCACACAGGACAGAAACAGGAAAUCCCACACCCCACCUCAAGAAACAAAAUGAAAAGAAAAAAAAAAAAGGCAUUUUGCUCGAGCUGCCCGCGCUUGGGAGCUCCUCCUCCUCAACCUCAGCACCUGGGAGCUCGGAUCAGGUUUGUACACUGGUUCAAAGUCGGCACUUGGGACUGCGAUCUGAACCCAGCACUGAAAGGCACAUAUCUGAUACCCUGUACAAGAGCUACGGACGCCGCCGAUGGGGGCUGAGGAUCAGAUUUGGGAAACUGGGGGGGAUAACAAAGAUUUGCAGAAACCAGCUGAGUUUUUUUUCUGCCUCCCUCCCACGAAGAGGUUUGAGAAACGCCCGCGUUCAAACUGCAGAUUCGGAUGCUGGUAGCAUCAACAGCUGCAUCAGUAAAAAUGAAAUGAGCAACAGCCUCACACCCUGCACCUCCUCCUCCAUCCCUCCGGGCUUAUUGCUGGUGGUUUGGGAUAAGCAAGGGACGAUUCCUCAAAAGCAAGAGCCUCAGGGAAGAGGAAACGAGAGAGAUUCUGAUCCUUCCCGUGGAAAUAAGACAUUGUGUGACUGGGGAAGCAGUAAGCAGCCAAUUUGUUUUGGAGUUGCCCAUCAGUCUGUUACUACUCUAUUAAAAAAGAAAAUGGUUAACAGGUUCCCCUUUUACUGGAAAGACCAAGAAUACAAAAAGGAAGUUUUGGGGAAUGUUUGACACCAUUUUAUUAAUCUUCAACUGCAGUGGAAAAAUAUAACCUUUUACAAGUGCCGUCUUGUGUAAGCUCAAGUCAGUAUAUAUAUAUUUUAUAUAAAUUUAUUUCUUCCUUUUUUUUUUUUUUUGUUUUUGAAGUGCAGCAAGAGACCAAUACCACAUCCGAUUUGAUUAAAUAAAGAGCACAAAAGGCCAAGCAGUUUCCAAAUGGCAUUUUUAUCAGAUUUCGUUUGAACAUUGAAUUUAUCCUCAUUUUGCAAUCCAAAAUAUUACCUGAAGUUUCAUUUUGUUUUUCAACUCUUUGGCACAAUUUUUGUGGGUGUUCGGGCUGCUACAGUACAAAGUCAGGAGAGCUCUUUCCCUUUCUCACUGCCAAUUCAGAGCACUUGAUGCCUGGAUUUGAGUUUGAAGCCUGAAAUCUUGUUUGACCAUUAAUUCUAUACCCUCUAACGCAAGAGUUUGAGUUUGCUUGUUUGUUGUUUUAUUUUCCCCCAUUUCUACAUUCACAGUUGAACAAUAUUAAGGAAGGAAAGGCGCUUUGAUGAAACGAGAUCAUGAAAAGCAUCACUCGGAAUGGGAGCUCUGAACAUUCGUCAGUGUUUCCCCAAAAUUAAAAGCCCUAAAGGAGCGACUUUCCUUGUUUUUUUUUUUUCCUUUUUCUUUUUUUUUUUCUUUUUUUUUCUUUUUUUUUACAUCUCUUACGCUGCAUCAGUAGACUGAAAACUUCGGUUAGUUUAUGAAAUGCAACAGCUAACCCCAUUUUUUUUUUGGGAAAAAAAAAAAAAAAA